AGAGUUUGAUCCUGGCUCAGGAUGAACGCUAGCUACAGGCUUAACACAUGCAAGUCGAGGGGCAGCGGGAAGGAAGCUUGCUUUCUUCGCCGGCGACCGGCGCACGGGUGAGUAACGCGUAUCGAACCUGCCUCAUACUCGGGAAUAACCUUGCGAAAGUAAGACUAAUACCCGAUGUUUUCAUCUCCUCGCAUGAGGAGUUGAACAAAGUUUUUCGGUAUGAGAUGGCGAUGCGUCCCAUUAGCUUGUUGGCGGGGUAACGGCCCACCAAGGCAUCGAUGGGUAGGGGUUCUGAGAGGAAGGUCCCCCACAUUGGAACUGAGACACGGUCCAAACUCCUACGGGAGGCAGCAGUGAGGAAUAUUGGUCAAUGGACGGAAGUCUGAACCAGCCAAGUAGCGUGCAGGAUGACGGCCCUCUGGGUUGUAAACUGCUUUUAGUUGGGAAUAAAGUGCGGUACGUGUACCGUUUUGUAUGUACCAUCAGAAAAAGGACCGGCUAAUUCCGUGCCAGCAGCCGCGGUAAUACGGAAGGUCCAGGCGUUAUCCGGAUUUAUUGGGUUUAAAGGGAGCGCAGGCGGACUCUUAAGUCAGUUGUGAAAUACGGCGGCUCAACCGUCGGACUGCAGUUGAUACUGGGAGUCUUGAGUACACGCAGAGAUACUGGAAUUCAUGGUGUAGCGGUGAAAUGCUCAGAUAUCAUGAGGAACUCCGAUCGCGAAGGCAGGUAUCUGGAGUGUAACUGACGCUGAGGCUCGAAAGUGCGGGUAUCAAACAGGAUUAGAUACCCUGGUAGUCCGCACAGUAAACGAUGAAUACUCGCGGUUGGCGAUAUACAGUCAGCCGCCAAGCGAAAGCGUUAAGUAUUCCACCUGGGGAGUACGCCGGCAACGGUGAAACUCAAAGGAAUUGACGGGGGCCCGCACAAGCGGAGGAACAUGUGGUUUAAUUCGAUGAUACGCGAGGAACCUUACCCGGGCUUGAACUGCCAGUGACGCAUGCAGAGACGCAUGUUUCUUCGGACACUGGCGGAGGUGCUGCAUGGUUGUCGUCAGCUCGUGCCGUGAGGUGUCGGCUUAAGUGCC
rnacentral:rRNA from 1 species